AGAAGAUAGUAAGAAUGUUGAUUCUUGGAGUUAAUGAAAAUUAUUCUAAGUUUUGGGUUUCAUUAUGGUAGCUACUGAUGCUUAUUUUAUAAUAAUUUUCAAUAUCAUUUUAAGGAGGUAGUUGUAAGACUUUAUUUUUUAUUUGAUGUUUUACUUUUUCUUGCCACUUCAUCACAUUAAUACUUUGUUAUGACAAACUUGUAUUUUUAUUUUAAAAUACAAGUAGAUAUCCUACAGUUUAGGAUUCCUUCUCCUCAAGAAGGCAAGAGAAUAUUUUAAAGUUUUGAGUCUGCGUGUAGUCUAGUCUGGAGUCCAUCUUACAUCUUAGCCCUCUUUAGGAUUGUGAUAAUAUGGCCAAAAAAGGAACCAGGCAACAUCAUAAUUUUUAUUUACAAACAUAUAUUUAAAAACACUUAAUUCCUAUAUAUGUUCAAAAUUUCAAGUGAUUCUCCUGCCUCAGCCUCCCAAGUAGCUGGGAUCACGGGUGCCCUCCACCACACCUGGCUAAUUGUAUUUUUAGUAGAGACAGGGUUUCUCCAUGUUGGCCAGGCUGGUCUCCAACUCCUGACCUCAGGUGAUCCACCCACCUCAGCCUUCCAGAGUGUGGGAUUACAGACAGGCCUGAGCCACAUGCCCAGCCCCAAAAUAUUUCUAAAAGGAUAUUGAACUCCUUUUCACUGAGUUUCAAUCCUUUAAAAUAUAUAUUAUAUUUUUCAGAGCUCUAACAUCCAAUAGUCCUUGAAGUACAAAAGAAAAAAUAGUUCUACCUAUGAAAAUGUAGAAAAAUGGAUUUACCAAUUAACUGCCAUCAAGUGAGAGAAGACAACCCAUGGUGUUUACCUAGCUGACGGAGGCAGGUGUGAGCCUGAGUGAUGCCACCCACCACUGUCCCAUUGUCCUGGCCUUUGUGUGGGAAAACAGGAAGGCGGCUUCAGCGGAAAGUGCUGCGAAGCUUCACAGAGGGGCUAGUGACUGGACCUAAUAAUUUGUCUGUAGAUCUCUGCUCCUUCGAAAAUUAAAA
rnacentral:lncRNA from 1 species